UCGUGUCCGGUACCACAUCAGGUACAGUGUUGGGUUAGAUUUAGGGUACCGGGUUUGGGCACUGGUGCACUACGAGUUGCAGCACUGGACAGAUUCUGGUUCGCGGCCCGGAGGCCGGGGGCCCUUGAUUUAAUGGGAACAGCCAGCAUGUAAAAAAAAAUCGACGGGUUGGGGAUACCCAAAACAUCAAAAAGUGACGCACAAGGGUCCUUAACUAAACAUCAACAUGUGACAACUUAGGAGUGGGAAUGUGUUGGUGGGACAUAUGUUAGCUUGUGUGUAAAACAAUAUUAGCAUUGAUUGGCUACCAUGAACACAACAGUGCAGUGGUAGAGUGGUCAACCUCGGAUCAGAAGAUCAGAGGCUCUUUUCCCGCCUUGCCGCCUAUGUGUCAGAGGUCAUGGUCAAGACACUGAACCCCACAUUCUUCCUAGAGGUCAUAGGUUGUUAGACACUGGGGCCACCAUCAGUGGAUGAAUGGAUCUGUGACUGUAAAGCACUUUAUAAGUAUAUGCCAUUUACAAUCCAGUGUCCCCUUCUGCUAGAAAAUCACUUUAUAACAUAACUGUGGCCAGAAGUGUGUUUUGCUUGUACUUUUUAAAUUAUAAAUUCAUAGUAAAGCACUGAUUGUUAAAAAUGUAGAGUAAAAACAAAACAAAAACAAGCAAAAAAAAAUACAGAAUCCUAAAAACCAAAAAAUACCAUACUUUUUGAGAGAUUGUAUUUAAUAAACAGAAAUAAAUGGGAUUCAUGUAUCACCUCCUACAGUUAGGUUCCUUUAUCACCACUAUGAGGUGCAGGUGUGGAGGUCAGGGACGUAUCAUCACGUCAACAUUUAUAGACUACUAGGAAUUGAGUCGUUUUUUUCUAUAAAAGCUUUUUUUGUUCAUGAUAAACAUAAAUUAAGAGCGUUGCCUCCAUCAGCUCAACCUACUUAAUAAUUCAAAUAAAUUAUUCAGAAAAGCAAUAUUUGUUUGGUUAAUAGUUAUCCAUAACACUGUCCUACUUACGCAAUCAAAAGGCUAAUGGAAGUUCACGAGGAUGAGACAUUGACUGAUGAAGUUAGGGGAGGAGGGGAAGGAAGAAAUGACAGAUAAAGAAGAAAAAGUGGCUAAUUUGAAGGGAGGAAAAGGAGGAAGUCAAAGACAAGAAAAAAAGGGAGGCAAAAGCAAAAAAAGAAAAAAAGAAAAAAAAGAAAAGAGGUCUGAGACAGCUGCACUUCUGUCGGCUCGCACCCCUGUUGCUAGGUUACCAUCCAUACACCAACGGGUUAAAGGAUCUCAGGAGCAGGCAGUGACAUAAUUAGCUGGUCUCCAUCAGAGAACACACAUACACCACUUUGAAUGAGGUGCAAAAAUAGAGCAACUCGGAACACAGUGUGGACCGCUGUUUAGAUUUUUCCACUGGAACUAACAAACUUGCCCUCUGAGCAAAAAUGGACAAAGAAUUAAGACUUACUGUGGUUGGAACUUGACAAUUUCACUGCUUUUCAAAUACCACUUUGAAACCCACCACUGCAACACAGCAGCAGCUUCUCUGCCCCAGCAGUUAGUAAUCCAGACGACUAAAGCUAAGCGGUGCAGAGGUCCCCGCGAUAAUGAAGGAGCCAAGUGUUGGAAUUGUGAAUUAUUUAAGAAAGAAUCAGCUCAGGAGAUAGCUGACUUCAGAGGAGACAAGAAAGCAGGUGGAAUACAGGUCAAACAAAAAAAAGUAAGCCUACAAAUGAGACAAAUGUAAUUUUUUUUUUUUUUUGCAUUUAUUCACAUAGAGCGAUCACAAAUCGCACAACGAUUUGCCUAUUAAAUUUGAACACUAAAAUAUCCUUAAUGCCCCAGCCACGUGUGGGAAGAGCAAACGCCAACAUUUUUCUGGACUUCAUUUGUUGCCACAUCAUAGAAAACAAGGAUGAUGCUGAGCGAGUAGCUUUGGUUUAUAGGUUUUUGCUAUGCCAACCCCUGGGCGGCUCAAGCUCUGUCGGCCCCUGGCCGUUGGCGCUCGCUAGCUCUGCCAGAAUCUUGGCGAUGGCACUUGCAAGCUCUGACUCUGGGUGGCGAAGUUUACUAGCUUGCUACGCAGUCCACCGGGCAGCUGGCUAGCAUAGCAGGCUCACUUAGCUCCAUGGGCUCUGCGACUGGUCAUGAACCUGCUCAGGGCGUAUCCCUGCCUUCGCCAAACAGUGGCGGGAACAGUCUCCAGCAAAUCUGGGGCCCUAGUGGGUUAAAAAAAUGGAUGGGAGUUCAAGAUGAUAAUCCUCACAUCAAGCACCCAUAUUGGAAUUUUUUUUCUACCCCCUGAUCGAGUCACUGGAAACUUCAUGUGCCUAAAGCUGAGUUACGGAUUGGUUGACCUCAAAGUGUCUGCCACCCAAAUUGGGCAUCUACCACAAUAACAUGACGUGCCACGCCCGACGCCCAAUAUCUAUAUAUUUUUUUACUUUUCACAGACAAGAUUGGGAGUUACAACCUUAG